GACGAACGCUGGCGGCGUGCCUAAUACAUGCAAGUAGGACGCAGUUGCGAACGGGUGAGUAACGCGUAGGUAACUACCUAUUAGAGGGGGAUAACUAUUGGAAACGAUAGCUAAUACCGCAUACUAGUAGAUGGACCUGCGUUGUAUUAGCUAGUAGGUAGGGUAAUGGCAUACCUAGGCAACGAUACAUAGCCGACCUGAGGGGGUGACCGGCCACCUUGGGACUGAGAUACGGCCCAAACUCCUACGGUAGUCAGCAGUAGGGAAUCUUCGGCAAUGGACGAACGUCUGACCGAGCAACGCGGCGUGAGUGAAGAGGGUUUUCGGACCGUAAACCUCUGUUGUUAGAGAAGCGGUAUCUAACCAGAAAGCCACGGCUAACUACGUGCCAGCCGCCGCGGUAAUAC
rnacentral:rRNA from 1 species